rnacentral:rRNA from 1 species
AAAUUGAAGAGUUUGAUCAUGGCUCAGAUUGAACGCUGGCGGCAGGCCUAACACAUGCAAGUCGAGCGGUAACAGAAAGAAAGCUUGCUUUCUUUGCUGACGAGCGGCGGACGGGUGAGUAAUGCCUGGGAAUAUGCCUUGAUGUGGGGGAUAACCAUUGGAAACGAUGGCUAAUACCGCAUAAUGCCUACGGGCCAAAGAGGGGGAUCUUCGGACCUCUCGCGUCAAGAUUAGCCCAGGUGGGAUUAGCUAGUUGGUGAGGUAAUGGCUCACCAAGGCGACGAUCCCUAGCUGGUCUGAGAGGAUGAAUCAGCCACACUGGAACUGAGACACGGUCCAGACUCCUACGGGAGGCAGCAGUGGGGAAUAUUGCACAAUGGGCGCAAGCCUGAUGCAGCCAUGCCGCGUGUGUGAAGAAGGCCUUCGGGUUGUAAAGCACUUUCAGUCGUGAGGAAGGUAGUUGCGUUUAAUAGCGUAAUUAUUUGACGUUAGCGACAGAAGAAAGCACCGGCUAACUCCGUGCCAGCAGCCGCGGUAAUACGGAGGGUGCGAGCGUUAAUCGGAAUUACUGGGCGUAAAGCGCAUGCAGGUGGUUUGUUAAGUCAGAUGUGAAAGCCCGGGGCUCAACCUCGGAAUUGCAUUUGAAACUGGCAGACUAGAGUACUGUAGAGGGGGGUAGAAUUUCAGGUGUAGCGGUGAAAUGCGUAGAGAUCUGAAGGAAUACCGGUGGCGAAGGCGGCCCCCUGGACAGAUACUGACACUCAGAUGCGAAAGCGUGGGGAGCAAACAGGAUUAGAUACCCUGGUAGUCCACGCCGUAAACGAUGUCUACUUGGAGGUUGUGGCCUUGAGCCGUGGCUUUCGGAGCUAACGCGUUAAGUAGACCGCCUGGGGAGUACGGUCGCAAGAUUAAAACUCAAAUGAAUUGACGGGGGCCCGCACAAGCGGUGGAGCAUGUGGUUUUAAUUCGAUGCAACGCGAAGAACCUUACCUACUCUUGACAUCCAGAGAAGCCAGCGGAGACGCAGGUGUGCCUUCGGGAACUCUGAGACAGGUGCUGCAAUGGCUGUCGUCAGCUCGUGUUGUGAAAUGUUGGGUUAAGUCCCGCAACGAGCGCAACCCUUAUCCUUGUUUGCCAGCGAGUAAUGUCGGGAACUCCAGGGAGACUGCCGGUGAUAAACCGGAGGAAGGUGGGGACGACGUCAAGUCAUCAUGGCCCUUACGAGUAGGGCUACACACGUGCUACAAUGGCGCAUACAGAGGGCUGCCAACCAGCGAUGGUGAGCGAAUCCCAAAAAGUGCGUCGUAGUCCGGAUUGGAGUCUGCAACUCGACUCCAUGAAGUCGGAAUCGCUAGUAAUCGUGGAUCAGAAUGCCACGGUGAAUACGUUCCCGGGCCUUGUACACACCGCCCGUCACACCAUGGGAGUGGGCUGCAAAAGAAGUGGGUAGUUUAACCUUUCGGAGGAGGACGCUCACCACUUUGUGGUUCAUGACUGGGGUGAAGUCGUAACAAGGUAGCGCUAGGGGAACCUGGCGCUGGAUCACCUCCUUA